ACGAACGCUGGCGGCGUGCCUAAUACAUGCAAGUCGAACGCUUCUUUUUCCACCGGAGCUUGCUCCACCGGAAAAAGAGGAGUGGCGAACGGGUGAGUAACACGUGGGUAACCUGCCCAUCAGAAGGGGAUAACACUUGGAAACAGGUGCUAAUACCGUAUAACAAUCGAAACCGCAUGGUUUUGAUUUGAAAGGCGCUUUCGGGUGUCGCUGAUGGAUGGACCCGCGGUGCAUUAGCUAGUUGGUGAGGUAACGGCUCACCAAGGCCACGAUGCAUAGCCGACCUGAGAGGGUGAUCGGCCACAUUGGGACUGAGACACGGCCCAAACUCCUACGGGAGGCAGCAGUAGGGAAUCUUCGGCAAUGGACGAAAGUCUGACCGAGCAACGCCGCGUGAGUGAAGAAGGUUUUCGGAUCGUAAAACUCUGUUGUUAGAGAAGAACAAGGAUGAGAGUAACUGUUCAUCCCUUGACGGUAUCUAACCAGAAAGCCACGGCUAACUACGUGCCAGCAGCCGCGGUAAUACGUAGGUGGCAAGCGUUGUCCGGAUUUAUUGGGCGUAAAGCGAGCGCAGGCGGUUUCUUAAGUCUGAUGUGAAAGCCCCCGGCUCAACCGGGGAGGGUCAUUGGAAACUGGGAGACUUGAGUGCAGAAGAGGAGAGUGGAAUUCCAUGUGUAGCGGUGAAAUGCGUAGAUAUAUGGAGGAACACCAGUGGCGAAGGCGGCUCUCUGGUCUGUAACUGACGCUGAGGCUCGAAAGCGUGGGGAGCAAACAGGAUUAGAUACCCUGGUAGUCCACGCCGUAAACGAUGAGUGCUAAGUGUUGGAGGGUUUCCGCCCUUCAGUGCUGCAGCUAACGCAUUAAGCACUCCGCCUGGGGAGUACGACCGCAAGGUUGAAACUCAAAGGAAUUGACGGGGGCCCGCACAAGCGGUGGAGCAUGUGGUUUAAUUCGAAGCAACGCGAAGAACCUUACCAGGUCUUGACAUCCUUUGACCACUCUAGAGAUAGAGCUUCCCCUUCGGGGGCAAAGUGACAGGUGGUGCAUGGUUGUCGUCAGCUCGUGUCGUGAGAUGUUGGGUUAAGUCCCGCAACGAGCGCAACCCUUAUUGUUAGUUGCCAUCAUUCAGUUGGGCACUCUAGCAAGACUGCCGGUGACAAACCGGAGGAAGGUGGGGAUGACGUCAAAUCAUCAUGCCCCUUAUGACCUGGGCUACACACGUGCUACAAUGGGAAGUACAACGAGUCGCGAAGUCGCGAGGCUAAGCUAAUCUCUUAAAGCUUCUCUCAGUUCGGAUUGCAGGCUGCAACUCGCCUGCAUGAAGCCGGAAUCGCUAGUAAUCGCGGAUCAGCACGCCGCGGUGAAUACGUUCCCGGGCCUUGUACACACCGCCCGUCACACCACGAGAGUUUGUAACACCCGAAGUAAGUGAGGUAACCUUUUGGAGCCAGCCGCCUAAGGUG
rnacentral:rRNA from 1 species